rnacentral:rRNA from 1 species
GACAGAGGAUGCAAGCGUUAUCCAGAAUGAUUGGGCGUAAAGCGUCUGUAGGUGGCUUUUUAAGUUCGCUGUCAAAUCCCAGGGCUCAACACUGGAUAGGUGGUGAAAACUACUAAGCUAGAGUACGGUAGGGGCAGAGGGAAUUUCUGAUGGAGCAAUGAAAUGCAUAGAGAUCGGAAGGAACACCAACGGCGAAAGCACUCUACUGGGCCGACACUGACACUGAGAGACGAAAGCUAGGGGAGAGAAU